UUAAUGGUUCAUUAACUAAAGAAUUAUAUAGUAUGUUAAAUGAAAAUUGUAUUGAUAAAAUAAAAAAAAAAGAAACAAAUGAAUAUAAAAAUAAACAAAAAACAGAAAAUAAUUUAAAUAUUGAAUUUUAUAGUAAUAACAAUCACGAUUUUGGUUCUAAAUAUAAUUAUAAGGAUGUUUUAAAUCUUUUAAAACAUCAGAGAGAACCACAUUAUUCAUUAAACGAAACAAUCAUAAAUGAAACAAUAUGUAUUUUAGAAAAGUGUGAUCUUAAAAAAAGAGGUUAUUAGUAGUAAAUCUCAUUCAACAGAUGAAACAUUAAAUAUGAAUAAAAACAAUUCCUCAAAUUUUAAUGUUGAUUCAUCUGAUACAAAUUGUAUGAAAAAAUUACUAUCUGAAACAUUUAACACAACUUUGAAUGAAAAAAAAAAAAAAAAAAAAAAAAAAAAAAAAAAAAAAAAAAAAAAAAAAGGAAAAAAAAAAAAAAAAAAAAAAAAAAAAAGAUUCUAGUAACAAUGGUGAUAAUAUUGUUGAUAGUAUUGGUGAUAGUAUUAUUGAUAGUAUUGGUGAUAGUAUUGUUGAUAGUAGUGUUGAUAGUAGUGGUGAACAUAGUUCAUAUUCUGAAAGCAGAAGCACAGAUGAAUUAUUAUCAAGUGAUGAUGAAAAAAAUAUAAAUUGGGAUGAAUGUACAAAUUUCUUUUCAGAUCCUAGACGUUUAAAUGUGGCAUUAACAAGAGCUAAAUGUAAUUUAUUUAUUUUUGGUAAUAGUAAGUUUUUAAAACAGUGUGAUACUUGGGAUAAAAUUAUUAAUUAUUAUGAAAAUAAUAAUAAAACUAUAAAAAUUGCUGAAAAUGUAUUUAAUACUUGUAAAAAAAGGUUACCUGAAAAUGUUACUAAUGAUGACAUUUAUGGUUUUCAAAAAAAAAAAUAA
rnacentral:lncRNA from 1 species